rnacentral:rRNA from 1 species
CACGUAGGGCGCAAGCGUUGUCCGGAAUUAUUGGGCGUAAAGAGCUCGUAGGCGGCCUGUUACGUCUGCUGUGAAAUCCCGGGGCUUAACCCCGGGCGUGCAGUGGAUACGGGCAGGCUGGAGGCAGGCAGGGGAGAACGGAAUUCCCGGUGUAGCGGUGAAAUGCGCAGAUAUCGGGAGGAACACCGGUGGCGAAGGCGGUUCUCUGGGCCUUACCUGACACUGAGGAGCGAAAGCGUGGGGAGCGAACAGG